AACGAACGCUGGCGGCAUGCCUAACACAUGCAAGUCGAACGAGACCUUCGGGUCUAGUGGCGCACGGGUGCGUAACGCGUGGGAACCUGCCCUUAGGUUCGGAAUAACUCCCCGAAAGGGGUGCUAAUACCGGAUAAUGUCUUCGGACCAAAGAUUUAUCGCCUUUGGAUGGGCCCGCGUUGGAUUAGCUAGUUGGUAGGGUAAAAGCCUACCAAGGCGACGAUCCAUAGCUGGUCUGAGAGGAUGAUCAGCCACACUGGGACUGAGACACGGCCCAGACUCCUACGGGAGGCAGCAGUGGGGAAUAUUGGACAAUGGGCGAAAGCCUGAUCCAGCAAGGCCGCGUGAGUGAUGAAGGCCUUAGGGUUGUAAAGCUCUUUUAACCGGGUUGAUAAUGACAGUACCGGGAGAAUAAGCUCCGGCUAACUCCGUG
rnacentral:rRNA from 1 species